CUGUAUGACCAGAUGAGAAUCCUAUCGUCUCACUGAAUGGGUCUUAACCUCAACACAGAUGAUCUGUUAUGUGUUUUUAACAUAUUUUCCUUUGACUGAUGACUUUAUGUCCUGUUUCUACUUGUUGACUUGUUUCCAGUACUGAGAUAAGAGUCCAGAAAUGAUUUCUGCCCGAAACCCAUAGUAGAAAUGAUACAGUGUCACGCACAGGCCUGCGUUUAAAGGCUGUGACCCUACAAUGGAAACCCAUGUUGAGAAAGACUGCAGGAAGUUGAUGAAUGAGAGCUCUUCCCUCGUGACCCUGUGACCUGAACUCCCACUACACCCUGCAGGAUGUACCACAGUUUUGACCUCUGUCUGGUUUCUAUUACUCUCUGAGAUAGUUUCCUCAGAUGAGUCACCUGCUGUCUGGACCGUAGUCUGACUGACCACUAAACACUAAUGGAGGGUGACAGAGUUUGGAGGAGGCCGCUGGCCUGAUGCCAGGUCAUGCUGGGGAGACGCUCUGACGCCAUCCUGCUGAGAUCCGGCUUAAAGGAAGUGGUGGAGAAACAUCUGGAGGUUGUUUGGAGCUCCUUCCAGGGCAGUAAGAGAGUUAGGAGCCUGGGACGGCUGCUGUCGGGGGGAGAACACCACCUGUCUGGAGCUGUUGACAACGGAGGAUGUGCUCUGACAUAAUACUCGGCUUCCUCACUACAGGCAAGGAAAGAGGAAGACAACACGCAUGCAUUCAUCCACAGAAACAUUGCAUCUUUAUUUAAACUAUACCCUGUUGGUGAGAGUCACUGUGGAUGUGUUUGUGUUCUGUGUGUAACCGGUGGCAUUUGUGUUGUUAUAAUGAUUACCAAAAAAAAAAAAAUGUUGCCUCAUCCCACAGUUUUACAGUA